CGGAGCCAUCCUUGAAAUACCACCCUUUAACGUUUGAUGUUCUAACCCGGGUCCAUAAUCUGGAUCGGGGACCGUGUCUGGUGGGUAGUUUGACUGGGGCGGUCUCCUCCCAAAGAGUAACGGAGGAGCACGAAGGUUGGCUAAGCAUGGUCGGACAUCAUGCGGUUAGUGCAAAGGCAUAAGCCAGCUUGACUGCGAGAGUGACGGCUCGAGCAGGUACGAAAGUAGGUCUUAGUGAUCCGGUGGUUCUGAAUGGAAGGGCCAUCGCUCAACGGAUAAAAGGUACUCCGGGGAUAACAGGCUGAUACCGCCCAAGAGUUCAUAUCGACGGCGGUGUUUGGCACCUCGAUGUCGGCUCAUCACAUCCUGGGGCUGAAGUAGGUCCCAAGGGUAUGGCUGUUCGCCAUUUAAAGUGGUACGCGAGCUGGGUUUAGAACGUCGUGAGACAGUUCGGUCCCUAUCUGCCGUGGGCGCUGGAAGAUUGAGAGGGGUUGCUCCUAGUACGAGAGGACCGGAGUGAACGCACCACUGGUGUACGGGUUGUGAUGCCAAUUGCAUUGCCCGGUAGCUAAGUGCGGAAGAGAUAACCGCUGAAAGCAUCUAAGCGGGAAACUUGCCUCGAGAUGAGUCUUCCCUGACCCUU
rnacentral:rRNA from 1 species